rnacentral:lncRNA from 1 species
CUUGCCGAGUCGAGGGCUGGAGCGUGGCAAUCUCUUGGAAACCUGGGGAGCAAGGAGAGGAUUCGUUCCGCUGUCUGCCUGCUGGAAAGAACUGAUCUUCAUCUUCAAAAAUUUGCUGUGUGCUUCCUCUUCAUGAAGACGUCUUUUGUGACUGUUAGACUAUUGCAAAGAGCUUUUCCUCUGAAACUCAGCACUACCAUAGUAGAACCAGUUCUAGACUUCCUUUUCAAGGAUUGCACUCGCUGAUCUGUCCGGAACAAGGGGUAGAUGUGCCUGCACUGCCUUCCUGGGAGCAUCUGCAGUUCCAGCACUUGGUACGUAGUUGAGGGGGACUGUUCAUGUGUCCCCCUGCUACGUUAAUGUAACCUAAAGAUG